rnacentral:rRNA from 1 species
UUCCUGGACAGGUUCCUGAGUACGGCCGGGCACGGGAAACCCGGUCGGAACCCGCGGGGACCACUCCGCAAGGCUAAAUACUCCUUGGCGACCGAUAGUGAACUAGUACCGUGAGGGAAAGGUGAAAAGUACCCCGGAAGGGGAGUGAAAUAGCACCUGAAACCGUGUGCUUACAAGCGGUCGGAGCGGAGCAAUCCGUGACGGCGUGCCUUUUGCAUAAUGAGCCAGCGAGUUACUCUUCAACGGCAAGGUUAAGGAAACGGAGCCGUAGCGAAAGCGAGUCUGAAUAGGGCGAUUUAGUCGUUGGAGGUAGACCCGAAACUGAGUGAUCUACCCAUGGGCAGGUUGAAGCGGGGGUAAGACCCCGUGGAGGACCGAACCGACUUGGGUUGAAAACCGAGCGGAUGACCUGUGGGUCGGAGUGAAAGGCUAAUCAAACUCAGAGAUAUCUGGUUCUCCCCGAAAUAUAUUUAGGUAUAGCGUCACGCGUUCAAUUUCAGUUGUAGAGCACUGUUUGGGCUAGGGGGCCUACCAGCUUACCGACCUCAGGCAAACUCCGAAUGCUGAAAUUCCAGAGCGUGGCAGUCAGAGUGCGGGGGAUAAGCUUCGUGCUCGAAAGGGAAACAGCCCAGACCGUCGGCUAAGGUCCCUAAUUCCUAGCUAAGUGGGAAACGAUGUCUGAUUGCUGAGACAACCAGGAUGUUGGCUUAGAAGCAGCCAUUCAUUUAAAGAGUGCGUAACAGCUCACUGGUCAAGUGGUCGGGCGCGGACAAUUCAACGGGGCUCAAGCUAGGAACCGAAGCCACGGACUUCACUUAUGUGGAGUGGUAGGGGAGCGUUCCCAGUUCGGCGAAGCCGCGGCGUAAGCCAGCGGUGGAGAGCUGGGAAGUGAGAAUGCUGGCACGAGUAACGAAAGACGAGUGAGAAACUCGUCCGCCGAAUGCCCAAGGGUUCCUGAGUAAAGCUAAUCUGCUCAGGGUUAGUCGGGACCUAAGCCGAGGCCGACAGGCGUAGGCGAUGGCCAACAGGUUGAUAUUCCUGUACCACGUAGCCACCGCUAUCACCGAUGGCGGGACGGGGUAGGCUAUGGAAUCCCAGGCGAUGGUCGUCCUGGGGCAACCGCGUAGGGUUGCCGGUAGGUAAAUCCGCCGGCUUUAAGCCUGAGACGGGAUGCCGAGCGCCGCAAGGCGCGAAGUUCCGGAAGCCAUGCCUCCUAGAAAAGCGUCUAGGGAGGUGGCGCGUGCCCGUACCAAAACCGACACAGGUGGGCAGGUAGAGAAUACCCAGGCGAUCGGAAGAACCCUCGUUAAGGAACUCGGCAAAAUCGCCCCGUAACUUCGGGAGAAGGGGCGCCGCGGUAGAGUGAAGCCCUUUUCGGGUCUAGCUCGAGGCGGCCGCAGUGAAACGGCCCAAGCGACUGUUUACCAAAAACACAGGUCUCUGCGAAGUCGAAAGACGACGUAUAGGGGCUGACGCCUGCCCGGUGCCGGAAGGUCAAGGAGAGAGGUUAGCCUUCGGGCGAAGCCGCGAACCUAAGCCCCGGUAAACGGCGGCGGUAACUAUAACCGUCCUAAGGUAGCGAAAUUCCUUGUCGGGUAAUCGAAUUGCCCGAGCUGGGAGUGAUCCCAGCGGACAAACCGGCUAAUAACGGGGAAACCCUCCUCGUAUGCGAUGCGUCAAGGACGUCGUGACGCGAAAGGGUAAUCCCGUGGGAAGUCGACUCUCUCCAAAGAGUUUGACCCCGUAACGACUGAUUGUCCUUUUUGGACAUGAGAUCGCAAUUCCGUCCGGCAUUGCCGCGACAAUCUAUGAAUGCGAUCAGACGCCGGCCCUUGGAGCAGUCGUGAGUUCCUCUCGGCAUACAUCUCCGGUUACGCAGAUGGAGAAGGGUGCUUCACGGUCUCGAUCUCACCGCGAGCGAAAUUGCUCGUCGGCUGGGAGGUGAGGCCGAGCUUCUCUGUCAGUCAGAACGGAGAUCGUGCCGAGGUGCUUCAUGCGUUGCAGGCCUACUUCGGGUGCGGAAGCAUCCGGCCUGACCGAAGCGACAAGACCCUGAAGUGGGAGACGCGCCGGCUCGAGGAUCUCCUCGAACGGGUGAUUCCGCACUUCGAGCGAUAUCCGCUUCUCUCAGGAAAACGGCUGGACUUCGAGCGCUUCGCCGCCGUCUGUCGACUACAGGCGGGCGGAGCGCAUCGAACCAAGACCGGGCUGAUCGAGAUCGUCGAGCUCGCUCGGGGCAUGAAUCCGAGCGGCAAACGGCGAUACGACGCGGAGGUAAUACUCGCGCGACUUGCGCCAAGGUGAAGGGAUAGUCUGCGCCUCUGGAAACAGAGGAAUUACGCGAAGUUCCGACCUGCACGAAUGGCGUAACGACUUGGGCGCUGUCUCAACGAGGGAUCCGGUGAAACUGUAGUCUCGGUGAAGAUGCCGAGUACCCGUGGUUGGACGGAAAGACCCCGUGAACCUUUACUGCAGCUUGACGUUGGAGUCUGGGGUGUGUUGUCCAGGAUAGGUGGGAGGCUGUGAAGCGCGGGCGCCAGCUCGCGUGGAGCCACCCUUGGGAUACCACCCUUCGCAUUCCGGGCUUCUAACCCGAUGCCGUGAUCCGGGUCGGGAACAGCAUCAGGUGGGCAGUUUGACUGGGGCGGUCGCCUCCUAAAAUGUAACGGAGGCGUACAAAGGUUCCCUCAGCACGGUUGGAAAUCGUGCGUAGAGUGCAAAGGCACAAGGGAGCUUGACUGCGAGACUGACAAGUCGAGCAGGUGCGAAAGCAGGUCUUAGUGAUCCGGCGGUAGAGAGUGGAAUUGCCGUCGCUCAACGGAUAAAAGGUACUCCGGGGAUAACAGGCUUAUCCUUCCCAAGAGUCCACAUCGACGGAAGGGUUUGGCACCUCGAUGUCGGCUCGUCGCAUCCUGGGGCUGAAGCAGGUCCCAAGGGUUGGGCUGUUCGCCCAUUAAAGCGGUACGCGAGCUGGGUUCAGAACGUCGUGAGACAGUUCGGUCCCUAUCCACCAUGGGCGCUGGAGCUUUGAGAGGAGUCGUCUCUAGUACGAGAGGACCGAGACGAACAGACCGCUGGUGUAUCAGUCGUCGUGCCAACGGCGCUGCUGAUUAGCUACGUCUGGAUGGGAUAACCGCUGAAAGCAUCUAAGCGGGAAGCCCACCUCGAGAUGAGAGCUCCCAUCCCCUCGAGGGAGUAAGGGCGGUCGGAGACCACGACCUUGAUAGGCGGCCGGUGCAAGCGCAGCAAUGCGUUCAGCUGAGCCGUACUAAUUGCCCGAGGUCUUGAUUUG